rnacentral:tRNA from 1 species
UAGCGGUGUUAGGGCACUAAGAAUUUUGAUUUCUUAAGAGAGGUUCACUAUCCUCCUGA